CGGAGGGUGCGAGCGUUGUCCGGAAUCACUGGGCGUAAAGGGCGCGUAGGUGGCGCAGGCCGUCAACGGUGAAAGUUCGGGGCUCAACCCUGAAUCGGCCGUCGAUACUCCUGGGCUCGAGCACUGUAGAGGCAGAUGGAAUUCCGGGUGUAGCGGUGGAAUGCGUAGAGAUCCGGAAGAACACCGGUGGCGAAGGCGGUCUGCUGGGCAGUUGCUGACACUGAGGCGCGACAGCGUGGGGAGCAAACAGG
rnacentral:rRNA from 1 species